CAAUGCUGUUAAGGGUUUUAGCAGAGGUGGGUACACUGUAAAAAAUUUCUGUAAAUUUACAAUGGAAAUUCAACAGCAAAAUGCUGUUUUCAUGUAAUAACAGUAAGUUGCUGUUUUUUACAGUGCAUUGUGGGUAGACUUUCUCACUUCAGGCCGGUUGUCGAGCAACAACAGAAUGUCACUGUUAUUUAACGGUAUUAUAGCAUAUUUUUCGUUGGGCACGCCAUUUUGGAUUGUCUGCAUGAGGUAGGUCUGCAACUUUAUCGAUGCUUGUGCUAUUUUAAAAUUACAUAUUACUUUUAAAUAUUGCAUUUUAUUCAGUAAAGCUUUUAAAAAAUAAAUCAGAUUCCAUUUCCUAUUUUAAUCAGGCAAAGCAGGUAUUCUACCAUCACAUCAGUUACACUCACAUCAGAUCACAGGUAUAUUUUGGUGCUUUGGUGCUAUUUUGGUCCCUAUUCCCUUUUCGUGCAUUGUAUAGACCAACAAAUAUUACAGAUUAAGAUGUGUGCCACUCUUGCUGACUUUGAGAAGACUAGUAACUUGUAACACCUCGUUUGAUCCUGUUUGGUGAUUCUCAGGGACAAUGGAUUAAACAAUGGAUGAUCAGCCUGAAAGCCAAAAGGGUGUUCAGCCAACGUGUCUCACUGGACUUGCUGCAUUGUUUUCUUGCAAAAAGUGAAAGCAGCAUCCACACUGGAAGUCCUUCAAAGACGCUUCAUUAAAAUCAAACCGGGAAACAAGGGUGCAAAGGGAAAGUGACCUCUAAAACAGGAAAACUGCAAAAGAAGACCAUCAACAGUCAGUCUCAAAAUAUCAAAUCUUUUAAAAAAGACUUUUGGACUUUGAGUGGUACUUCAUUUAAAAUGUAGCUGACACUUCCCACCAAUACAGUUUUUUUUUUAAAUAUGGUGGGCUGCAGUGAUGGCAGGUGACUUCUCCGAGGAGGCACGAAUGCAAAGCUAGCCAAAACAUUGUCAUGUGUGUGGCUCGUCACUUCAAAAUGUGUGUUUGGCGCGUCAUGUGAACCUGUGCAUAGCGUGUCAUGUCAAAAUACGUGCCUGCUCCAGACACUUUGAAGGGGAUUAUAAUAAAAGAGAUGCUCGCUUUUGCCAUACUAGCUUAAUCUCAUGUGUAAUCAGAGUUUAGUGUUAAAUGAGUGUCUUGCGGGUAUCAUGUGAAUGUCUCUUUUAUUCUUUAUCAUAUUCAAAGCGUUUGCGGGAGGCACGUAUUUUGACAUGAUGUGCAAUGCAUAUAGAUUCACAUUACACCCCGAACACAUAUUUUGCAUCCUGGCCACCACUGGUGGGUGGUGUUUUUGUAUACUGGUUUGUAUAUUAUAGACCAUGUUUUCAUAUUUAAAAUUGGGCUGGUGUCUGUUAAAGAAUAAGCAAAGUAAUGUUUUAUUGAAUCCUCUUAAAAAUGUGCUGUUUUUACAGUUGUGAAACUUUUGUGCUUUUUUUGAAAUCUAAAUUUUAAACUACAUUUGUAUUUUAAGUAAAGAUAAGGCAUCUCAAUAUUGUACUUUGUUUUUUUGAUAUUUUUUUUUUUUGUAUUUUAGUAUGUUAUUGGUGCGUUUUUGUUGCACCACCGUUUAUGCACUGAAUAUUAAAAUAUAUCUGCUUGUAUUUCUGCCUGUUUUAUGGCAUAACAAACAUAGCAUAACAGUCAAUCUGGUGUUGAAUAGAAUAAAGAAUAAAAAAAUCAUAACCUGGCCUUUUUUGUUCUAUGUUAUCCACUUUGACAAAUAUAAAAUGCAGGGUAUAAUAGCAUUUAAAUUAAAAAAUAAUGGAGUUGUGACUAAUAUGUACUGUAAAUUAACCGGUAUAUGAUGCUAAAUAACAGUUUUAUGCUGUAGAUAACAAAAACAGUAUCAUGCUAUUAAAUAACAGCUGUAUUCUGUAGGUGACACAAACAGUACCAUGCUGUUAAAAUAACAGUUGACUGCUGUAGGUAACAAAACAGUAUCAUGCUGUUUUUUCUAAUAACAGUAUCCCGCUGUAAAUU